CUGAAUUUGUGCUGCUGGCUGGGAACGGGCAACCAAGUACCGCCUGGAGCAAAUUUACACCUGUGCACUUGAAUGUCUUUUGGGAGCUUUUCGGGGCUCCCAGCAUUGAUAAACACCUAUUGACCACGUCUGAACAUUUAUUUAAAUAUAAACAACUUUUGACAACGGAUCUCUAGGCUCUCGCAACGAUGAAGAACGCAGCGAAAUGCGAUACGUAAUGUGAAUUGCAGAAUUCCGUGAAUCAUCGAAUCUUUGAACGCAUAUUGCACCUCUCCGGAGGUAUGCCUGUUUGAGAAUCUAUAGUAUCUUUUCCCCAGUACCUCUGGUCUGGGGGAGAUUUGGGGCGUCUCGCUGAGUGCCCUUAAAGCUAUAGCUUGACACUGACCGAGUGCUAGAGCGUAUGUAUUUGAAACUCUCCGAGUACCUGUACGAAACUCUGGCGCGAGCUCGCUCUGGGCCAAGCCCACCACGGAGGUUGAAGAAACCCGAAC
rnacentral:misc_RNA from 1 species